AGUGAACGCUGGCGGUAGGCCUAACACAUGCAAGUCGAACGGCAGCACAGAGGAGCUUGCUCCUUGGGUGGCGAGUGGCGGACGGGUGAGGAAUACAUCGGAAUCUACUCUGUCGUGGGGGAUAACGUAGGGAAACUUACGCUAAUACCGCAUACGACCUACGGGUGAAAGCAGGGGACCUUCGGGCCUUUCGCGAUCGAAUGAGCCGAUGUCGGAUUAGCUAGUUGGCGGGGUAAAGGCCCACCAAGGCGACGAUCCGUAGCUGGUCUGAGAGGAUGAUCAGCCACACUGGAACUGAGACACGGUCCAGACUCCUACGGGAGGCAGCAGUGGGGAAUAUUGGACAAUGGGCGCAAGCCUGAUCCAGCCAUACCGCGAGGGUGAAGAAGGCCUUCGGGUUGUAAAGCCCUUUUGUUGGGAAAGAAAUCCAGCUGGCUAAUACCCGGUUGGGAUGACGGUACCCAAAGAAUAAGCACCGGCUAACUACGUGCCAGCCGCCGCCGUAA
rnacentral:rRNA from 1 species